UACGAAGGGGGCUAGCGUUGCUCGGAAUUACCGGGCGUAAAGGGCGCGUAGGCGGAUAUUUAAGUUGGGGGUGAAAUCCCGGGGCUCAACCUCGGAAUUGCCUUCAAAACUGGAUAUCUUGAGUUCGGGAGAGGUGAGUGGAACUCCGAGUGUAGAGGUGAAAUUCGUAGAUAUUCGCAAGAACACCCGUAGCGAAGGCGGCACUCUGGGCCGAUACUGACACUGAGGAGCGAAAGCGUGGGGAGCGAACAGG
rnacentral:rRNA from 1 species